UGCAUGUGAUGUUUUUCUCACGAUGGUCUUCCAAGCCUACAGGGUUGUGACGACAAGGCCUUAAGGCAACACUGAUGCAUUAGA
ensembl:snoRNA Small nucleolar RNA SNORD35